rnacentral:rRNA from 1 species
GACGAACGCUGGCGGCGUGCUUAACACAUGCAAGUCGAACGGUGAAGCGCCUUCCUUUUUGGUGGGUGUGGAUGAGUGGCGAACGGGUGAGUAACACGUGAGUAACCUGCCCCCUUCUUCUGGAUAACCGCAUGAAAGUGUGGCUAAUACGGGAUAUUCUGGGUCUGUCGCAUGAUGGGUCUGGGAAAGAUAUUGUUUCGGUGGGGGAUGGGCUCGCGGCCUAUCAGCUUGUUGGUGGGGUGAUGGCCUACCAAGGCGGUGACGGGUAGCCGGCCUGAGAGGGUGGACGGUCACACUGGGACUGAGACACGGACAAGACUCCUACGGGAGGCAGCAGUGGGGAAUAUUGCACAAUGGGCGCAAGGCUGAUGCAGCGACGCCGCGUGAGGGAUGGAGGCCUGCGGGUUGUGAACCUCUUUCGCCAGUGAAGCAGGCCUGCCUCGUUUGUGGGUGGGUUGACGGUAGCUGGAUAAGAAGCGCCGGCUAACUACGUG